CGCAACUUAAACAUGUCGGCUCAUUCACAGUUGAACCGAGGAAAGCGGCGGUGCAGAGCUGAACUGGAAACCAUGGCAACACAGUGCUUGCCUCUCUAAUCCCUCGGCCCUGCGUAGACGAAUACCUGCGCGGGCACCGGCCUAUUCAACACCUGCAUGAAAGAAAACCUUCCCGAGCCGCAUGGUACGAAAAUACUCCGGGGAGGAGCACUUCUGAUGGACUGCUUUCCGGCAGUUUCGCCGUAUCGCACGGAGACGGACAGACGGACAGACUGCAUCCACUGUCCAAUUCAAAAGAAAGGAUGCAGCGUGGAUACACCAGGACUUGGCCUCCUCCAAACAAAUAAGAUGGCUGCAGCACUCCCCCAACACCUUCCUGAUACCGGGAAGAUGAAUGGUUGUGUUGUAACGAAGGCGCGAAGGGACCCCGAGUCGUGGAGGAAAUGUCUCCAUCACACAGGCGGAGAGGCGGGGCGACGGGGCGGGCCGGAUGGUGAGCAGGCUGGAUGCUGUCGUGGCGGGAGAGCAAAUGGAUAAAUGGAGGAAAAAGAGGCAGAAAUGUCGCGGUGAACAUUUCACGCAUUGUUUCCAAAUACGAUUCAGAAUAAGGUUGGUGGAAACGUGUGGAGAUAUCGCGUGCAAAGCCGAAACCCGAUCCUGCCCGUAAGUAACACUCCGUGGGUUUGAAAACUAAAGAGCACAGCUGUUAGCGGAAG
ensembl:lncRNA